rnacentral:sRNA from 1 species
GGUUUAAUUCGAAGCAACGCGCAGAACCUUACCAGCCCUUGACAUUUAGCGCUCGCCACAGAGAUGUGGUUUUCCCUUCGGGGACGCUAGGACAGGUGCUGCAUGGCUGUCGUCAGCUCGUGUCGUGAGAUGUUGGGUUAAGUCCCGCAACGAGCGCAACCCUCGCCCUUAGUUGCCAGCAUUCAGUUGGGCACUCUAAGGGGACUGCCGGUGAUAAGCCGAGAGGAAGGUGGGGAUGACGUCAAGUCCUCAUGGCCCUUACGGGCUGGGCUACACACGUGCUACAAUGGUGGUGACAGUGGGCAGCGAAGGAGCGAUCCCGAGCUAAUCUCCAAAAGCCAUCUCAGUUCGGAUUGCACUCUGCAACUCGAGUGCAUGAAGUUGGAAUCGCUAGUAAUCGCGGAUCAGCACGCCGCGGUGAAUACGUUCCCGGGCCUUGUACACACCGCCCGUCACACCAUGGGAGUUGGUUUUACCCGAAGGUAGUGCGCUAACCGCAAGGAGGCAGCUAACCACGGUAGGGUCAGCGACUGGGGUGAAGUCGUAACAAGGUAGCCGUAGGGGAACCUGCGGCUGGAUCACCUCCUUUCUAAGGAAGCUGUGGAACUGGUAAGACGACCGGCCUGAUCUCUGGGUCCUUUGGAUCCCUGGAUCAACCCGGUAUGAACCUUCCCGUGCUUUUUAGAACAUAGAUGGCGCCAGUCAGGCGACCAUCGAAACGCAAUACGCCGCGUAGACUUCGGUCACGACGGUAUGGCGGAUGCCGCCGACUACGUUUCUCUUUCUUCAUAAGGAUAUGAACCAUUUGUUUGCGCUCACGCGCUGUUCGCACCUUCGGUGCUGCGCUCCGCGAGGGCGCCAGACGACUGGCGACGGCCUCUGGCCUGUAUGGGCGGAUUGAUCGCAAGCUUUGUGUUUAGCGAGAUCGGGCCUGUAGCUCAGUUGGUUAGAGCACACGCUUGAUAAGCGUGGGGUCGGAAGUUCAAGUCUUCCCAGGCCCACCAUUCUCUCACUUGAGGUGAGUGGAUUGUUCGAUCUUGAUCCUCCUGAUGGGUUUGCUCAUCGGGUGUUGCGAUGGUUGGGGCUGUAGCUCAGCUGGGAGAGCACCUGCUUUGCAAGCAGGGGGUCAGCGGUUCGAUCCCGCUCAGCUCCACCAAUUCGCUUCCAAGAGGAGACGAUGGUGUCGAGAUGGCGGAUACAUAUCCUUUGAAGAAAUAAAAGUUUGCAUCGCUUCGAUGAAGCGCAUGCCUGUUCUGCAAAAAUCGUGAAGAGAAGAUUGAUCUGGAAGCUUCCAGGUAUUGGGGUUUAAGCCCUGAUGUCCAAGCCCAGUCCUUAAGAACCCAUGGAUGGCCUAGCCGGCCGGAUGUGGUGGAGGGAUUGGAGGUAGGAGGGAAGCUUGUCGCUCUGGUCGGUCGUUGUUGGUGUUUUGGGCUGGUUCUUCGAACCGGUCUUAAAAUGCUUCUGACGACUUUCUGAUGGCCGCUAGCUAACCGCACGGUCCCGGAUUUAAUCUCGAGAAGCUGGUCUUAAAGAUAGACUGCAAGCGAGCUGCUCGGCGUAGCUCCAAUAAAGCAGAUCUAUCGAACACGUCGAUGGCAUCAUGAGAUAGCGCGGUUGUAAAAGGUAACCGUGCUGUUUGUGCUUUGCACAGACUAACUGAUGAGCAUUGGCAAUGAGAACGAUUAAGUGUCGUAAGGGCAUUUGGUGGAUGCCUUGGCAUGCACAGGCGAAGAAGGACGUGAUACGCUGCGAUAAGCCGUGGGGAGC